CCCUGAGCGUAGUAAACAUCCUCGCUAUAGGGACCCGGUGGACAUCAGCCAUCAACCCCCAUUUUCUUUAAGUUUGACCUCGGAUCAGGUAGGGAUACCCGCUGAACUUAAGCAUAUCAAUAAGCGGAGGAAAAGAAACCAACAGGGAUUGCCUCAGUAACGGCGAGUGAAGCGGCAACAGCUCAAAUUUGAAAUCUGGCUCUUUCAGGGUCCGAGUUGUAAUUUGUAGAAGAUGCUUCGGGUGUGGCUCCGGUCUAAGUUCCUUGGAACAGGACGUCAUAGAGGGUGAGAAUCCCGUAUGUGACUGGCUGCCUUCGCCUAUGUGAAGCUCUUUCGACGAGUCGAGUUGUUUGGGAAUGCAGCUCAAAAUGGGUGGUAAAUUUCAUCUAAAGCUAAAUAUUGGCCAGAGACCGAUAGCGCACAAGUAGAGUGAUCGAAAGAUGAAAAGCACUUUGGAAAGAGAGUUAAACAGUACGUGAAAUUGUUGAAAGGGAAGCGCUUGCAACCAGACUUGCAUGCGGUUAAUCAUCCGGUGUUCUCACUGGUGCACUUGACCGUGUUCAGGCCAGCAUCGGUUCAGGUGGUAGGAUAAAGGCCUUGGGAAUGUAGCUUCUUUCGAGGAGUGUUAUAGCCCUCGGUGCAAUGCUGCCUACCUGGACCGAGGACCGCGCUUCGGC
rnacentral:rRNA from 1 species